ACUACCCAACCUGUCAGCCUAUUUCUCUUUUAAAGAAGAUUCAACCCAGCAGCCUACUUCAACAGGCGAUCCGGCCCAACAACAAUAACUUUAGUUUCCCCAGCCCAAUAGAAACGCCCCGACCCGGCCCACAUGACUUUUCUCUUCUACACAGCACAAACAACAAACGUACAACAGUAAUAGCAUGGUGUACAAACCCCUAGCAAAACGUGUGCAGCAACCAGCAACGACAACAUUGAUAAUAUCGAGUCGAUCAGCGUUCGAACCACCGGAUAUUGAAAAUCCGGUGGUUUUCCACCUCUACCCUCGUCUGUAUCCUCUCUCCCCUACUAUUUCCAUCUACAUCAACAUCAAUUGACUUUCCCUCACUGUUGUUCAAGAAAACCAAAGCCCAAUGAUCUGCAGUUUCAGGAAGAGAUGGAGAAAUGGAAUAUCCAUCUGCUUCAAAAGGCUCUUGUCGUCGAUUCGACAGCUAUCAAGGAUCAAACCAAUGGGUCCAAGCCUCUCCGCCUCCACUCCGUCACUUCUCCUUAAAAUCAGCUGAAAAGAAUUUGGUGGUGAAGAGCCUUUUAGACUUGUCGUUGUCUCAGCUCGCUGCACCAUAAAAGGUUACUGUGUUUUCGAAAGUGGAGAAAAGAAGACAACUCAAUUCAUACGUGCAUGUUGCUUAAGAAACUAUAUAUGUAUCCUUACAUAAAUUUUUAAUAAGCCUAUUGAUAGAAAUGAGAAAGUAAAGUUUAGUUUAAUUCAUAGAAAAAUUAUAUACUAUGAUAUAAACAUGCAA